UACGUAGGGGGCAAGCGUUGUCCGGAUUUAUUGGGCGUAAAGAGCGUGUAGGCGGUUUGGUAGGUCCGUUGUGAAAACUCGAGGCUCAACCUCGAGACGCCGAUGGAAACCAUCAGACUAGAGUCCGGAAGAGGAGAGUGGAAUUCCUGGUGUAGCGGUGAAAUGCGCAGAUAUCAGGAGGAACACCGGUGGCGAAGGCGGAUCUCUGGGCCAUUACUGACGCUGAGGAGCGAAAGCGUGGGGAGCAAACAGG
rnacentral:rRNA from 1 species